rnacentral:rRNA from 1 species
GGUAUUGAAAUAAGAUUUUAAAUGAGUGCUAAGAGAAUGAUUAAACAAUUAAAAACUUUCUUUAAUUAAAUAAUUAAAUUUAAUUUUUUUUGUGCGAAAGCAAAAAUAAAAUUUAGGGACAAGAAGACCCUAUGAAUUUUUAUUAUUAAUAUUUUGCAAUUAAAUUAUUAAUAAUUUAAUUGGGGUGAUAAAAAAAGAAUAAGUAUCUUUUUAAUUGUAAAAUAAGUUCCGUUUUUAGCGAUUAAAUGAAAAAAAUACUCUAGGGAUAACAGCGUAAUAAUUUUGGAUAGUUCAUAUAGAUAAAAUAGUUUGCGACCUCGAUGUUGGAUUAGGAUUCU